rnacentral:lncRNA from 1 species
GCCCCAGCCCGGCUCCGCUCCGCGCCUCCCCGCGGCGCCCCGCGGCCAUCCUGCCCCCCGCCGGCGGCAGCCAAUGGCGGCGCGGGGCCGCGCUGAGGUGGCGGCGGCGCCGGUAAUGGCCGCCCGCGGCCCGCUCGCAGGCCGCCGCCUCGGGCUGGGCUCCGGUGAUCGCGGCUGAGGCGACCUCGGGUUUGCCUCCUCCGCCCGUCGGCAAUUAAAAACGCUGCGGAAUUACCGUUUUUAUUUAUGGCUGCCAGCCUUUGGAAGCUCCUCGCCACCCUCAUCUCACCGGGCUUUUCGGGCAAACCUCCGAUUUGGGAGCGUGAUAUAUGGCGAAGUUUCUAUCUAUAUCCCAGACACGUCAUCUUAGAGCAGUAUUCUUGAUGUGGACAAAAAAUCUGCCAGAUUUGCCUGGACCAAACCCAAACAAGUGAUUUGUGCCCUUCAGCUUUGGAGGCAUCAUUUUAAAAAGCCGUGCUGUCUGCAAACUGCAAGAUAGACAACCUGGGCUUUUAAUAAUCCAGAUUGAACAGUAACACAGCAGUUUUGUGGAAUCGGUGAUGUUUCUGGGACCCAAUUCUCAAUUAAAGUGUAGAAGAAAACCUAAAGAUCACUUUGUGCCUGCUCAGUCCUUGCCACUCAUUUGGAUUGUGCAAUCCUGCCUGCCCAAGCCAUUCCAAGGUGAACGUGGACAGCAGAUGGCAACAACAGAGCUUGCGACAUCCUUUGAUUGCAUUCUCCAUUCAAAUAAAUGCCAACCUGUAUUGCAAUCACCGUUUUAGGUCAGAAAGCAUAUCCAUGUUAAUAACUGCAACAGAAGGUUUAAUUGUUUGUGUGGAGUGAGGGAAUGGAGGAACUCAGAAGUAGUAAUUAGCUUGGAGCUACCCAUAAAGUGUGACCUAAGAUUUUUGUUGUUGGAAUGGGAAUGUGGAGGCACUUUUCACCGUGAAAAAGGUGAAAAAGUCAAAAGUCUUUAUUUCAUCUGAAUGUUUACCUAGUUAAAUAUUAGGGUUGGAAUUGAUAGUAGUAAUGGAGAAGGCAGUAACGGUGUAGGUGUUAAGAUAAAGAAAUAAGGGGGCAAUUCUGCAGGUGUUAUGAUCAGUUAAAUUUACUGCCAUGAAAGUGAGUGGAAUGAGCAUGUUUUACAAUAAAUGUUGUGGUUUUCUUAGUACA